GACGAACGCUGGCGGCGUGCUUAACACAUGCAAGUCGAACGGAAAGGCCCUGCUUUUGUGGGGUGCUCGAGUGGCGAACGGGUGAGUAACACGUGAGUAACCUGCCCUUGACUUUGGGAUAACUUCAGGAAACUGGGGCUAAUACCGGAUAGGAGCUCCUGCUGCAUGGUGGGGGUUGGAAAGUUUCGGCGGUUGGGGAUGGACUCGCGGCUUAUCAGCUUGUUGGUGGGGUAGUGGCUUACCAAGGCUUUGACGGGUAGCCGGCCUGAGAGGGUGACCGGCCACAUUGGGACUGAGAUAAGGCCCAGACUCCUACGGGAGGCAGCAGGGGGGAAUAUUGCAAAAUGGGCGGAAGCCUGAAGCAGCAACGCCGCGUGGGGGAUGACGGCCUUCGGGGUGGAAACCGCUUUCGCCUGUGACGAAGCGUGAGUGACGGUAAUGGGUAAAGAAGCAACGGCUAACUAAGUG
rnacentral:rRNA from 1 species